CCUACGGGGGUCAGCAGUGAGGAAUAUUGGUCAAUGGUCGGGAGACUGAACCAUCCAAGCCGCGUGAGGGAUGAAGGUACAGAGUAUCGUAAACCUCUUUUGUCAGGGAACAAAGGCGGGGACGUGUCCCCGGAUGAGUGUACCUGAAGAAAAAGCAUCGGCUAACUCCGUGCCAUCAGCCGCGGUAAUACGUAGGAUGCGAGCGUUAUCCGGAUUUAUUGGGUUGAAGGGGUGCGCAGGCGGUCUGUUAAGACAGCGGUCAAAGCCCGGGGCUCACCCCCGGCCCGCCGUUGAAACUGGCAGUCUAGAGUUGGAGAGAAGUAUGCGGAAUGCGCGGUGUAGCGGUGAAAUGCAUAGAUAUCGCGCAGAACUCCGAUUGCGAAGGCAGCAUGCCGGCUCCACACUGACGCUGAGGCACGAAAGCGUGGGUAUCGAACAGGAUUAGAUACCCCAGUAGUC
rnacentral:rRNA from 1 species